rnacentral:rRNA from 2 species
GCGCCUGAACUCAAGCAAGAUUACCCGCUGAAC